CUUGUUCUAACUUUGCAAUAGUGUUGCUCUACUGUAUAAAAACUACGCUGAACUCCAUAGAUUUCUGAGCGAACUUGAAUCAACAUAAGGGAAUAUCAAAAUGAUAUCCGAAUUCAUGCAUUGUUACGGAAAAUGAAUAUAGCCAAAAUGGAGAUCAUUAUCAACAUAAGGUGCUCAUUAUCACAACAGUCGUACAUGCUUUAACCUGUCAAAUAUGUACUGUCAUGAACAAAGAAAAAAAUGUAUUUGAUUUGCCAUGGACCUGCUUGAAAUCGAAGAUAUGGAUGAUGGUGCAGCACACAAAUCAAAUUAGCAUCACAGCUUAAACCGAGGUCUGUCUACGAUCAGUCUGAAACUCGACUCGAUAGGCUCAAUAUACACAAUGAAACACAAGUUUCAGUGAGAUUCUCAGAUUCACACAGGAAAGUUCCUUGGAACUUUAACUGGAAAAAGGAUCAAAGUUGAACAUGAACUGGGAAAACAUUCUAAAAGUUCAGACUGGGCAUGCUAGCCUGCUGCUGUUGAAAACUGCCUGUAUAACCAGGCCAGAAACAACAACCAAAACAGGGGAUUACAUCCAGUGAUUAGCUUUCAUCAAGGGGACAAAUACCUCUGGUGUAGCCGCUGCAGGCGCCAUUUGUACGGCUCGACCGAUGUUCUUGAGAUAAUGUCGAGCUAGAUGGGGAUGGAGGUGAUGGUAAUGUCGAGCUAGAUGGGGAUGGAGGUGAUGGCAAUGGACCACGAUCUAUCUAAUUAUCUGAUUUUGGCACAAUCGAUUCAAAACACUCAGAAACUGGAGUACAUGUCGACAUAGUUGAUGACAUAGGUGAUGGCUCCAGAACACUUGAUUCAGAAAUUUUUGCUGUUUUUGAAGGUCGGUUAUCAAAGUCCUCUUCAAUGUUCUGUGUAAUAUUAAGUUACAGUGUUGUCAUCUAUUUUCUGCAAUCACAACAAAAAUAAAAGGUAAACCUCCAACCGUUAGAAGCAUCAUCUGACAGUAGCUUUGUUUAAAGGAGAGAUAAAAAUUACAAUCCAGUAUGUAAAAGGCAAAAGUAUAUAGAGAUAAAAAUUACCAAUACAUAUGUGCAUGUUUAAAAAUUCUAGAAUGAGAAAGUAAAUCAUAUCAGCAAAUGUGGUCUACCACACAGCAUAAAGGACCUCAGUUGAUUAAGUAGCUAUAUAUGCGCAUGUCAAAAUAUUCUAG
rnacentral:lncRNA from 1 species